AGUAUAAAUAUUCCCCUCUUCCUUCGUCACAUCCUCUUUCCGUUGCUCCUCUCGCCCUGAGACACUUCUCUUCACGAUGAGAGCUAAGUGGAGGAAGAAGCGUAUGCGCAGGCUGAAGCGUAAAAGGAGAAAGAUGAGGCAGAGGUCCAAGUAAAUCCUCUUCCUGCCAGCUGUGAUUCCCGUCUGCGCUUCUCCAGUUGACCGACUACAGGGGCUAAAGUGGAGCCUCCAUCAGUUGAACAGAAGCCUACUGUGAUAUCUGAUGACUGCGCAUCUCAUGGACACUUCUGUGGACGUCUGACUGGAAAAUGCAAAGACGCUGGACUAUCAACAUAAGAACUACAGCUGAAUUGAUCACGGAUCAUUAUACAUAUUGUUUACCAACUGUCAUGUGAUGAUGAACAAUAAAUGAACACUGUUUAAAACUUACAACAA